UUUUUUUUUUUUUUUUGUCUCAGAAAAGUGGCGACUUCGGUGGCAGCCCAGACCGAGAGGAAGCUUAAAAAUAAGUUGGGAAGUAGUCGCUUGGUUAUUAAGCGUGGAGCGUUAUUUAUUCAAUGGCAAAAUACUAAUCCUACUCAUGAUUGUGGAUUUGGCUAGUGCUGAGGGGCAGAGGAGGAGUCCGGGGUUGGGUGGCUUGUGGGACAGAAUAUUCAUUCAGACAAAUCAGAAAGGGCACUUGAAAAUAAAUUUUGAUUCUGAGCCAGGAGAAAAAAAAACUUGAAAUGUAGACUUAUUUAAGUGGGGGAAAAAAACCAGAAAGAGACACGUUGCUAUGAAAAGACUUGUAUUUUUUAUUGUCUCUGAACUUUAAUCCUGUGAAAAUGCUCAAAAGUUUUGGCAAGAGUGAUAUAAAAAAAAAAAAACUGACUGUGGCUGAAAGAAUUGCAUUUAAAAAUAUUUAUGUGCACCUUGUUACUUUUCACUCUGCGAUGAUGUAUUAACAAUUCAUGGUAUUUAUUUGUUAUUCUUCAAUGACCCUUCCACAUCAACAGUAUUUAUCAUGUGUUAAGGUCAUGGGUCUUAUGUGCAGAUUUUUUUAAUGCCUCUAAAAUUCUGUUUUAUAGAUUAACUUAUACUGUGUGCCAAGUGUUUAAAAGGUUUAUUUGCCAACAAGUAUGAAGAGACAUAUUGAUGUAUCUGAGCUGCUUAGGUUUAUCAAAGGUCACCUGGAUACUUUCAGUUGCAUCAUCCCUGUAUUUAAAUUGAGCUUUAAUAAAUUGCUUCAGUCCAAAAAUUACAGGAAAGGUGUAUUCUUAAUUGAUGAAUGAAUUGAUCUCUUUUUUUGAAAGGGGACUCCUUUGCAUUCUAAAAGGGAAAGACAUCACAGCAAUAGAUCCUAUAAGUAAGAACAUGCUAAGCAAAUAUUUUUCCAGGCUGUGCUGUGCAUUUUUAAAAGGUCUAAUUUAAUUGCUUUUAAUGUAUAUGUACAUAUAUAAGUUAUUUUAACUGUGGAGAAUUAUUUAAGUUAAAAGACUGGUUUGAUUUGCCUAUGGUGUGAAAUCCUUUGUUAUUUUUCUAAAAAAAAAUAAUAAAAUUUAAAAAGAAAUAAAAUAAAACUAAGGAAGAGCAAGAAGCUAUUUACCCAAAGUGAGCUUUCAGUUUUAGUUUGCAUGGCUGUUUGCCUGCCUUUCUAUCCUAUGAAAAUCAAGAAAACCUUUUUUAAAAAUGGAGUCCUGCUAUUUUCCACUCCUUGCAGAUAAUACAAAUUCAGUUUGUCAGGUUGGAUGGCGAGUUGGGAGCUAUGAUGGAUCUACUGGCGGGUUUUGGAUGUGUAAAGAAUGAUAUAUAUAUUAAAUAGGUCAAUCAGACUAUGACAGCUAUGUACGACCAUUUGUAUGUGUAUCUAUGUCAGAAAGAAUCUUUAUUAAAAUAUUUUG
rnacentral:lncRNA from 1 species